rnacentral:lncRNA from 1 species
AUCAACCAGAUCCAUCUUAAAUUCUCCUAUGAUUCAUUACCACUGCAGAAGGAUUUAACCUAUGAAGAACAACCUGUUCAAAUCAUUGACUGCCAUGAGAGAGUUCUUCACUAUAAAAAGAUUCUGAUGGUAAAAGUUUUUUGGCAGCACCACUCCCUAGAAGAGGCUACUUAGGAGUCUAAGAAUGAUAUGUGGGAAUUAUGUCCUGAAUUAUUUAGUUAAAAUAUGCAAAAUUCGGGGACAAUUUUUUAUAACGAUGGGAGAAAUAUAAUAUCCAUUUUCUGUACCUUGUAAAAAAAUUAUAAAAUUCUACUCUAAUGAAAUUCCUUCUUAAUAAUCUUUGUUGUUAACUGUUUAAAUUUAUGUUUUCAAAUGCUUUUUUUUUUCUUUUUCUUGAUUUUUGAUCGUAGGAUUUUUGGAAUAUCUAUAUAUAAAUAAAUUCCCACACACAGGUAUGCAAAUUUUCCUCUGUUUUCCUCUUUUAUGGGCAUCCCUGUCACUUGGCCAAAGGAUGGUGUCCAUUUGCCCAGGAAAAUAUUGGCAUGCAUAAACCAGGUGUCCUCCUUCCAACUUGUUUUGCCCAAAACAGUCGCCCAUUCUCUUUCAUCACAUAAUUGGGAUCACAUGCUUGUGGUCCGACAGUGGCAAUAAAAACAGAAAUUCAUCAUUGGGUUCUACCAUCGAAUUUUUUAUAUUCCUUCACAAGGAAGAAAGAAAACCAAGAAGCAAUGGACAUUUCGGUGAGCAGAAGAAAAACUGAAUGCGAGAAAGAGUGCAGAAGUGAAAACAUAGGGUGAAUCGGGAGGAAGGGAGUGAGCGGCUGUGAGCAUCCAGAGGUGUGCAGAUCUCUCCUUCUAAGAGCUAAGCCAUUUUAGGUGAUUUUUUAAUAAACUUUAGGUUCCUCUUAACUUAUUCGCUUAUCCCCAGCUCCCUUUCCAAAACAGAAACAUACUGAGCUCAACCAAGCCCUGUUU